GAUGAAGAACGCAGCGAAAUGCGAUAAGUAGUGUGAAUUGCAGAAUUCAGUGAAUCAUCGAAUCUUUGAACGCACCUUGCACUCCUUGGUAUUCCGAGGAGUACGCCUGUUCGAGUGUUAUGAAGCUCUCAAAACGCAAUUGGCUUAAAACCUGAUUGUUGUUUUGGAUUUGAACUUUGCCGUGUUAUAACGGCUGGUUUUAAAAGUAUUAGCUGGUACUAGAACGAAUUGGUUCUACUCAACGUGAUAAUUAUCUGAUCGUUGAGGACAUUCCUUUCACGAGGAAUGGCCAUAGUAAAUUCAAUGGACUGCUUCUAAUCUGGCUUUAAUUCUUUAUUGGAUUAACCACUUUUCAAAUCUGACCUCGAAUCAGGUGGGACUACCCGCUGAACUUAAGCAUAUCAAUAAGCGGAGG
rnacentral:misc_RNA from 1 species